GAAAACCUAUAACUAUUAUUAUUUUCUUAUCAAUAUAAAAAAUAAAAAAUGAAGCCUAAAUCUAAAAGCCCACCGUAUACUCUCACUGUAAAUCAAAAAUCCACCACGCAUCCGGCACCCACUCUAAAAUCUAAACCCACGGCAUCCUCUAUUUGCCUCCAGAAAUUUCACCAAAAAUUAUUCCCGCUUUUUGGCUUAACCUCUUCAUCAAUUGCUACCAAAACCUAACUAAAUCAAUUUGCCUGUAGUCCCAAUCUCUUCAUCUGCCACAGUAUUAUUUUUGGUCAAUAAAUUUCGGCUUAAUCUUCUACGUACGUACAGAUUUUGUGUUCUUCAAGCAUUCUUAAAGG
rnacentral:lncRNA from 1 species